UUGGAAAGCACAGCCAUAGAGGGUGAAAGUCCCGUAUACGUAAGUUGUAGUAAAUGGUAGCAGUAUCCUGAGUAGCGCGGGACACGAGAAAUCCUGUGUGAAUCUGUCAGAACCAUCUGAUAAGGCUAAAUACUCCUAGAAGACCGAUAGUGCACUAGUACCGUGAGGGAAAGGUGAAAAGUACCCUGAAUAAGGGAGUGAAAUAGUUCCUGAAACCGUACGCCUACAAGCGGUCGGAGCCUCUAUAUGGGGUGACGGCGUGCCUUUUGCAUAAUG
rnacentral:rRNA from 1 species